GGCAUAGCUCAGUUGGCAGAGCGACGCACUCGUAAUGCGUAGGUCGCCGGUUCAAGUCCGGCUCC
rnacentral:tRNA from 1 species